UGGGGGAUAUUGCACAAUGGGCGAAAGCCUGAUGCAGCGACGCCGCGUGGGGGAUGAAGGCUUUCGGGUUGUAAACCUCUUUCGCUAUCGAACAAGGCCCGCUUAGGGUGGGUUGAGGGUAGGUGGAGAAGAAGCGCCGGCUAACUACGUGCCAGCAGCCGCGGUAAUACGUAGGGCGCGAGCGUUGUCCGGAAUUAUUGGGCGUAAAGGGCUUGUAGGCGGCUUGUUGCGCCUGCUGUGAAAACGCGGGGCUUAACUUCGCGCGUGCAGUGGGUACGGGCAGGCUUGAGUGUGGUAGGGGUGACUGGAAUUCCAGGUGUAGCGGUGGAAUGCGCAGAUAUCUGGAGGAACACCGAUGGCGCAGGCAGGUCACUGGGCCAUUACUGACGCUGAGGAGCGAAAGCAUGGGUAGCGAACAGG
rnacentral:rRNA from 1 species